rnacentral:rRNA from 1 species
CGUAGGAUGCAAGGCGUUGUCCGGAAUUACUGGGCGUAAAGGGCGAGUAGGCGGCCUUUCAAGUCAGAUGUGAAAUAGCCCGGCUUAACCGGGAGGGGUCAUUUGAAACUGAGAGGCUAGAGUGCAGGAGAGGCUAGCGGAAUUCCCGGUGUAGUGGUGAAAUGCGUAGAUAUCGGGAGGAACACCAGUGGCGAAGGCGGCUAGCUGGCCUGUAACUGACGCUGAGGCGCGAAGGCUAGGGGAGCGAACAGGAUUAGAUACCCUGGUAGUCCUAGCAGUAAACGAUGGAUACUCGGUGUUGGGGGAAUUGACCCCCUCAGUGCCAAAGUCAACACAUUAAGUAUCCCGCCUGGGGGAGUACGGUCGCAAGAUUA